UACGUAGGGGGCAAGCGUUGUCCGGAUUUAUUGGGCGUAAAGAGCGUGUAGGCGGCUUUACAGGUCCGUUGUGAAAACUCGAGGCUCAACCUCGAGACGCCGGUGGAAACCGUAAAGCUAGAGUCCGGAAGAGGAGAGUGGAAUUCCUGGUGUAGCGGUGAAAUGCGCAGAUAUCAGGAGGAACACCGGUGGCGAAGGCGGUGAUCUGGGCCGACACUGACGCUGUAGAGCGAAAGCGUGGGGAGCGAACAGG
rnacentral:rRNA from 1 species